ensembl:lncRNA
UCUCAAUGGGUUUAUGCUGGUCAUGGCCAGGUUGUCAUACUUCAGAGGCAAAGAGGCUUUGAUGGAGCAGCUUUUGGCUUAACAGCACAGCCGCCGGGAAUCCGUCAGACAAACCCUUUCCUGGAACAUCUGAGGCACGAUCUAAAACAUGACUGGCCAAGAUUUCAACUUUCCCCGUGCUUCUGAGUGGGAUUCACACCUCGCCUGAAUGAGGAAGCUUGUUUAGUAUUUUUUUAGUCCUGGUCCUGCACUGGUGUCUGUCAGCUUAACAAUUUGCAGAGAGAGGGACUGUGGAAACUCAGCCUGUUCAGAGGCUAUGGAGUCCUCCAAAAAGCCAGCAGCACAUAGCCCGAUGGCGACGAUACUUGCUGUAGCCCUGAGAUGGACAAGGUAUACAGGGAGUCCUUCGCCCAGUGACAGCAGGACAAGCAGUGGAUGGAUGGAUGGACAAACGGACCUUUAAGCCUAGAUGGUACAAAGGACCCUAGUAUGGAGAUGACCUGGAUGGUGGAGCCCUUCGUGCCUCUCAGAAGCAUUUUCAGCACCUAAAAGUACCUCAGAUUUCAAAGGCUGAUAUGAGUCCCAGAUUUCUGCUCACAUUUCUCUUUGAGCAGCAGUUGCACGCCGCCACAUCGCCACUCUGUCCCCCCAUCUGUUCCUGUCCCUUCCUGUUUUACAGCACACUGUCCUUGGAUAGCCUGAUAGGUUCUUAAAGUCC